CCUACGGGAGGCAGCAGUGGGGAAUCUUGGACAAUGGGCGCAAGCCUGAUCCAGCCAUGCCGCGUGAGUGAAGAAGGUCUUCGGAUUGUAAAGCUCUUUUGCCAGGGACGAUAAUGACGGUACCUGGAGAAUAAGCCCCAGCAAACUUCGUGCCAGCAGCCGCGGUAAU
rnacentral:rRNA from 1 species